rnacentral:rRNA from 1 species
UAAAGAUUCAUCGCUGAUAGAUAGGCAUGCGUUCCAUUAGGCAGUUGGCGGGGUAACGGCCCACCAAACCGACGAUGGAUAGGGGUUCUGAGAGGAAGGUCCCCCACAUUGGUACUGAGACACGGACCAAACUCCUACGGGAGGCAGCAGUGAGGAAUAUUGGUCAAUGGGCGUAAGCCUGAACCAGCCAAGUCGCGUGAGGGAUGAAGGUUCUAUGGAUCGUAAACCUCUUUUAUAAGGGAAUAAAGUGUGGGACGUGUCCUGUUUUGUAUGUACCUUAUGAAUAAGGAUCGGCUAACUCCGUGCCAGCAGCCGCGGUAAUACGGAGGAUCCGAGCGUUAUCCGGAUUUAUUGGGUUUAAAGGGUGCGUAGGCGGCCUUUUAAGUCAGCGGUGAAAGUCUGUGGCUCAACCAUAGAAUUGCCGUUGAAACUGGGAGGCUUGAGUAUGUUUGAGGCAGGCGGAAUGCGUGGUGUAGCGGUGAGAUGCUUAGAUAUCACGCAGAACCCCGAUUGCGAAGGCAGCCUGCCAAGCCAUGACUGACGCUGAUGCACGAAAGCGUGGGGAUCAAACAGGAUUAGAUACCCUGGUAGUCCACGCAGUAAACGAUGAUCACUAGCUGUUUGCGAUACAGUGUAA